rnacentral:rRNA from 1 species
GACGAACGCUGGCGGCGUGCUUAACACAUGCAAGUCGAACGGAAAGGCUCCAGCUUGCUGGAGUACUCGAGUGGCGAACGGGUGAGUAACACGUGGGUAAUCUGCCCUGCACUCUGGGAUAAGCCUGGGAAACUGGGUCUAAUACUGGAUAUGACCUUUCUCCUUAUGGGGUUUGGUGGAAAGUUUUUCGGUGUAGGAUGCGCCCGCGGCCUAUCAGCUUGUUGGUGGGGUGAUGGCCUACCAAGGCGACGACGGGUAGCCGGCCUGAGAGGGUGAUCGGCCACAUUGGGACUGAGAUACGGCCCAGACUCCUACGGGAGGCAGCAGUGGGGAAUAUUGCACAAUGGGCGGAAGCCUGAUGCAGCGACGCCGCGUGAGGGAUGACGGCCUUCGGGUUGUAAACCUCUUUCAGCAGGGACGAAGCGUAAGUGACGGUACCUGCAGAAGAAGCACCGGCUAACUAUGUG